rnacentral:rRNA from 1 species
GACGAACGCUGGCGGCGUGCUUAACACAUGCAAGUCGAGCGGUAAGGCCCUUUCGGGGGUACACGAGCGGCGAACGGGUGAGUAACACGUGGGUGACCUGCCCUCAGCUCUGGGAUAAGCCUGGGAAACCGGGUCUAAUACUGGAUAUGACUCCAUGACGCAUGUUGUGGGGUGGAAAGCCUUGUGCGGCUGAGGAUGGGCCCGCGGCCUAUCAGCUUGUUGGUGGGGUGANGGCCUACCAAGGCGACGACGGGUAGCCGGCCUGA